UGCCAGCCGCCGCGGUAAUACGAAGGGACCUAGCGUAGUUCGGAAUUACUGGGCUUAAAGAGUUCGUAGGUGGUUGAAAAAGUUGGUGGUGAAAUCCCAGAGCUUAACUCUGGAACUGCCAUCAAAACUUUUCAGCUAGGGUAUGGGAGAGGUAAGUAGAAUUUCUAGUGUAGAGGUGAAAUUCGUAGAUAUUAGAAAGAAUACCAAUUGCGAAGGCAGCUUUCUGGAUCAUUACUGACACUGAGGAACGAAAGCAUGGGUAGCGAAGAGGAUUAGAUA
rnacentral:rRNA from 1 species